rnacentral:rRNA from 1 species
UACAGAGGGUGCGAGCGUUGUUCGGAAUUAUUGGGUGUAAAGCGCUUGUAGGUGGCUUGUUAAGUCCUGUGUGAAAGCCCUUGGCUUAACCAAGGAAGUGCGCAGGAAACUGGCGAGCUUGAGUGCCGGAGAGGGUCGCGGAAUUCCCGGUGUAGAGGUGAAAUUCGUAGAUAUCGGGAGGAACACCAGUGGCGAAGGCGGCGACCUGGACGGACACUGACACUGAGACGCGAAAGUGUGGGGAGUAAACAGG